CUUCACGGAACCGAGCCACAGCGGCUGUUCGGCAUCCCUGUCCUGCCCAUAGGUGGCGAUCAGGGCCUGUGCCUC
rnacentral:antisense_RNA from 1 species